rnacentral:tRNA from 1 species
CGGGGAUUGCCGAGCCAGGUCAAAGGCGCAGGAUUCAGGGUCCUGUCUCGAAGGAGUUCGUGGGUUCGAAUCCCACUCCCCGCAU